CUGCUUUGAAGAACAGUCUGGCAGCUCCACCACAGAUGCAAGAAAAACAUGUCCUUGCACUUUCCGUCUGUCUAAUUGUGGCAGCUGAGAUUGAAUAGAGGAAUACAGGG
rnacentral:snoRNA from 1 species